rnacentral:rRNA from 1 species
UACGUAGGGACCAAGCGUUGUUCGGAUUUACUGGGCGUAAAGGGCGCGUAGGCGGCAAUUCAAGUCAGCUGUGAAAUCUCCGAGCUUAACUCGGAACGGUCAGCUGAUACUGUUUUGCUAGAGUGCAGAAAGGGCAACCGGAAUUCUUGGUGUAGCGGUGAAAUGCGUAGAUAUCAAGAGGAACACCUGAGGCGAAGGCGGGUUGCUAGGCUGACACUGACGCUGAGGCGCGAAAGCUAGGGGAGCGAACAGG